rnacentral:rRNA from 1 species
UUAAGCGACUAAGCGUACACGGUGGAUGCCCUGGCAGUCAGAGGCGAUGAAGGACGUGCUAAUCUGCGAUAAGCGUCGGUAAGGUGAUAUGAACCGUUAUAACCGGCGAUUUCCGAAUGGGGAAACCCAGUGUGAUUCGUCACACUAUCAUUAACUGAAUCCAUAGGUUAAUGAGGCGAACCGGGGGAACUGAAACAUCUAAGUACCCCGAGGAAAAGAAAUCAACCGAGAUUCCCCCAGUAGCGGCGAGCGAACGGGGAGCAGCCCAGAGCCUGAAUCAGUGUGUGUGUUAGUGGAAGCGUCUGGAAAGGCGUGCGAUACAGGGUGACAGCCCCGUACACAAAAAUGCACAUAUUGUGAGCUCGAUGAGUAGGGCGGGACACGUGGUAUCCUGUCUGAAUAUGGGGGGACCAUCCUCCAAGGCUAAAUACUCCUGACUGACCGAUAGUGAACCAGUACCGUGAGGGAAAGGCGAAAAGAACCCCGGCGAGGGGAGUGAAAAAGAACCUGAAACCGUGUACGUACAAGCAGUGGGAGCACGCUUAGGCGUGUGACUGCGUACCUUUUGUAUAAUGGGUCAGCGACUUAUAUUCUGUAGCAAGGUUAACCGAAUAGGGGAGCCGAAGGGAAACCGAGUCUUAACUGGGCGUUAAGUUGCAGGGUAUAGACCCGAAACCCGGUGAUCUAGCCAUGGGCAGGUUGAAGGUUGGGUAACACUAACUGGAGGACCGAACCGACUAAUGUUGAAAAAUUAGCGGAUGACUUGUGGCUGGGGGUGAAAGGCCAAUCAAACCGGGAGAUAGCUGGUUCUCCCCGAAAGCUAUUUAGGUAGCGCCUCGUGAAUUCAUCUCCGGGGGUAGAGCACUGUUUCGGCAAGGGGGUCAUCCCGACUUACCAACCCGAUGCAAACUGCGAAUACCGGAGAAUGUUAUCACGGGAGACACACGGCGGGUGCUAACGUCCGUCGUGAAGAGGGAAACAACCCAGACCGCCAGCUAAGGUCCCAAAGUCAUGGUUAAGUGGGAAACGAUGUGGGAAGGCCCAGACAGCCAGGAUGUUGGCUUAGAAGCAGCCAUCAUUUAAAGAAAGCGUAAUAGCUCACUGGUCGAGUCGGCCUGCGCGGAAGAUGUAACGGGGCUAAACCAUGCACCGAAGCUGCGGCAGCGACGCUUAUGCGUUGUUGGGUAGGGGAGCGUUCUGUAAGCCUGCGAAGGUGUGCUGUGAGGCAUGCUGGAGGUAUCAGAAGUGCGAAUGCUGACAUAAGUAACGAUAAAGCGGGUGAAAAGCCCGCUCGCCGGAAGACCAAGGGUUCCUGUCCAACGUUAAUCGGGGCAGGGUGAGUCGACCCCUAAGGCGAGGCCGAAAGGCGUAGUCGAUGGGAAACAGGUUAAUAUUCCUGUACUUGGUGUUACUGCGAAGGGGGGACGGAGAAGGCUAUGUUGGCCGGGCGACGGUUGUCCCGGUUUAAGCGUGUAGGCUGGUUUUCCAGGCAAAUCCGGAAAACUAAGGCUGAGGCGUGAUGACGAGGCACUACGGUGCUGAAGCAACAAAUGCCCUGCUUCCAGGAAAAGCCUCUAAGCAUCAGGUAACAUCAAAUCGUACCCCAAACCGACACAGGUGGUCAGGUAGAGAAUACCAAGGCGCUUGAGAGAACUCGGGUGAAGGAACUAGGCAAAAUGGUGCCGUAACUUCGGGAGAAGGCACGCUGAUAUGUAGGUGAAGUCCCUCGCGGAUGGAGCUGAAAUCAGUCGAAGAUACCAGCUGGCUGCAACUGUUUAUUAAAAACACAGCACUGUGCAAACACGAAAGUGGACGUAUACGGUGUGACGCCUGCCCGGUGCCGGAAGGUUAAUUGAUGGGGUCAGCGCAAGCGAAGCUCUUGAUCGAAGCCCCGGUAAACGGCGGCCGUAACUAUAACGGUCCUAAGGUAGCGAAAUUCCUUGUCGGGUAAGUUCCGACCUGCACGAAUGGCGUAAUGAUGGCCAGGCUGUCUCCACCCGAGACUCAGUGAAAUUGAACUCGCUGUGAAGAUGCAGUGUACCCGCGGCAAGACGGAAAGACCCCGUGAACCUUUACUAUAGCUUGACACUGAACAUUGAGCCUUGAUGUGUAGGAUAGGUGGGAGGCUUGGAAGUGUGGACGCCAGUCUGCAUGGAGCCGACCUUGAAAUACCACCCUUUAAUGUUUGAUGUUCUAACGUUGACCCGUAAUCCGGGUUGCGGACAGUGUCUGGUGGGUAGUUUGACUGGGGCGGUCUCCUCCUAAAGAGUAACGGAGGAGCACGAAGGUUGGCUAAUCCUGGUCGGACAUCAGGAGGUUAGUGCAAUGGCAUAAGCCAGCUUGACUGCGAGCGUGACGGCGCGAGCAGGUGCGAAAGCAGGUCAUAGUGAUCCGGUGGUUCUGAAUGGAAGGGCCAUCGCUCAACGGAUAAAAGGUACUCCGGGGAUAACAGGCUGAUACCGCCCAAGAGUUCAUAUCGACGGCGGUGUUUGGCACCUCGAUGUCGGCUCAUCACAUCCUGGGGCUGAAGUAGGUCCCAAGGGUAUGGCUGUUCGCCAUUUAAAGUGGUACGCGAGCUGGGUUUAGAACGUCGUGAGACAGUUCGGUCCCUAUCUGCCGUGGGCGCUGGAGAACUGAGGGGGGCUGCUCCUAGUACGAGAGGACCGGAGUGGACGCAUCACUGGUGUUCGGGUUGUCAUGCCAAUGGCACUGCCCGGUAGCUAAAUGCGGAAGAGAUAAGUGCUGAAAGCAUCUAAGCACGAAACUUGCCCCGAGAUGAGUUCUCCCUGACUCCUUGAGAGUCCUGAAGGAACGUUGAAGACGACGACGUUGAUAGGCCGGGUGUGUAAGCGCAGCGAUGCGUUGAGCUAACCGGUACUAAUGAACCGUGAGGCUUAACCUU